rnacentral:tRNA from 1 species
UCUCUGGUGGUUCAAUGGUUAGGACUCAACACUUUCACUGCUAUAGUCCAGGUUCAAUCCCUGGUGGGGAA